rnacentral:rRNA from 1 species
UACAGAGGUGGCAAGCGUUGUUCGGAAUUACUGGGCGUAAAGGGCUCGUAGGCGGCCAACUAAGUCAGACGUGAAAUCCCUCGGCUUAACCGGGGAACUGCGUCUGAUACUGGAUGGCUUGAGUUUGGGAGAGGGAUGCGGAAUUCCAGGUGUAGCGGUGAAAUGCGUAGAUAUCUGGAGGAACACCGGUGGCGAAGGCGGCAUCCUGGACCAAUAUUGACGCUGAGGAGCGAAAGCUAGGGGAGCAAACGGG